rnacentral:rRNA from 1 species
GGACACGUGGUAUCCUGUCUGAAUAUGGGGGGACCAUCCUCCAAGGCUAAAUACUCCUGACUGACCGAUAGUGAACCAGUACCGUGAGGGAAAGGCGAAAAGAACCCCGGCGAGGGGAGUGAAAAAGAACCUGAAACCGUGUACGUACAAGCAGUGGGAGCACAGAGCAAUCUGUGUGACUGCGUACCUUUUGUAUAAUGGGUCAGCGACUUAUAUUCUGUAGCAAGGUUAACCGAAUAGGGGAGCCGAAGGGAAACCGAGUCUUAACUGGGCGUUAAGUUGCAGGGUAUAGACCCGAAACCCGGUGAUCUAGCCAUGGGCAGGUUGAAGGUUGGGUAACACUAACUGGAGGACCGAACCGACUAAUGUUGAAAAAUUAGCGGAUGACUUGUGGCUGGGGGUGAAAGGCCAAUCAAACCGGGAGAUAGCUGGUUCUCCCCGAAAGCUAUUUAGGUAGCGCCUCGUGAAUUCAUCUCCGGGGGUAGAGCACUGUUUCGGCAAGGGGGUCAUCCCGACUUACCAACCCGAUGCAAACUGCGAAUACCGGAGAAUGUUAUCACGGGAGACACACGGCGGGUGCUAACGUCCGUCGUGAAGAGGGAAACAACCCAGACCGCCAGCUAAGGUCCCAAAGUCAUGGUUAAGUGGGAAACGAUGUGGGAAGGCCCAGACAGCCAGGAUGUUGGCUUAGAAGCAGCCAUCAUUUAAAGAAAGCGUAAUAGCUCACUGGUCGAGUCGGCCUGCGCGGAAGAUGUAACGGGGCUAAACCAUGCACCGAAGCUGCGGCAGCGACGCUGAUGCGUUGUUGGGUAGGGGAGCGUUCUGUAAGCCUGUGAAGGUGUGCUGUGAGGCAUGCUGGAGGUAUCAGAAGUGCGAAUGCUGACAUAAGUAACGAUAAAGCGGGUGAAAAGCCCGCUCGCCGGAAGACCAAGGGUUCCUGUCCAACGUUAAUCGGGGCAGGGUGAGUCGACCCCUAAGGCGAGGCCGAAAGGCGUAGUCGAUGGGAAACAGGUUAAUAUUCCUGUACUUGGUGUUACUG